rnacentral:rRNA from 1 species
UACGUAGGGUCCGAGCGUUGUCCGGAAUUAUUGGGCGUAAAGGGCUCGUAGGCGGUCCGUCACGUCGGGAGUGAAAACUCAGGGCUCAACCCUGAGCGUGCUUCCGAUACGGGCGGACUAGAGGUAUGCAGGGGAGAACGGAAUUCCUGGUGUAGCGGUGGAAAUGCGCAGAUAUCAGGAGGAACACCGGUGGCGAAGGCGGUUCUCUGGGCAUUACCUGACGCUGAGGAGCGAAAGCGUGGGGAGCAAACAGG